CAGACCAGGUGCCAGCUCAUGCUAAUGCCCUUAGGACACACUGAACACUGACAAAUGCUUAGCUGGAAACUAGUCUGGCUCAUCUCUGUGUUAGACUAAACAUCUAUUUUA